rnacentral:misc_RNA from 1 species
GAUGAAGAACGCAGCGAAAUGCGAUAAGUAAUGCGAAUUGCAGAAUUCCGUGAGUCAUCGAAUCUUUGAACGCACAUUGCGCCCCCUGGUAUUCCGGGGGGCAUGCCUGUCCGAGCGUCAUUGCUGCCCUCAAGCACGGCUUGUGUGUUGGGCCCCGUCCUCCGAUCCCGGGGGACGGGCCCGAAAGGCAGCGGCGGCACCGCGUCCGGUCCUCGAGCGUAUGGGGCUUUGUCACCCGCUCUGUAGGCCCGGCCGGCGCUUGCCGAUCAACCCAAAUUUUUAUCCAGGUUGACCUCGGAUCAGGUAGGGAUACCCGCUGAACUUAAGCAUAUCAAUAAGCGGAGGA